GUGACGUUCAUGUUGUAAGAGCAGCCCGUUGCUUUAGUGAGUAGAGUUAUUUAUCACUUUUAUAAUCUUUUCAGACUCUUGUUGACGACGACAGUCAGCUCAUCAUGUCGACGCCGACUCUGCUGGUCCUGUUCGGGAGUCAGACUGGGACGGCUCAGGACACGGCUCAGAGGAUCGGUCGCCAGGCUCAGAGGAGGAAGAUGAAGGUUCAAGUUCUUCCUCUGGACGGUUACAACGUGGCCAACCUGAUCUCAGAGUCUCUGGUUGUCUUUGUUUGCUCCACCACCGGACAAGGAGACCCUCCAGACAAUAUGAAGAACUUCUGGAGGUUUGUCUUCAGGAAGUCUUUACCUGCUGGGUCUCUGAGCCGGCUGGACUGUGCCGUGCUGGGUCUGGGGGAUUCCUCUUAUCCCAAGUUUAACUUUGUGGCAAAGAAGCUUCAUAAACGCCUCCUGCAGCUCGGGGCGAGCGCUCUGCUGCCCGCUGGACUGGCAGACGACCAGCACGACCUCGGGUCGGACGCUGUGAUCGACCCGUGGCUCGGAUCGUUCUGGGUGAAGGUGUUUGCUGUGUACCCGUCUCUGUCUGAUGUGACCCCUCUGAGGGAAGAUGAACCACUCCCUCCGUCGUACACUUUCCACUUCCUGGAUGAUGUGAACGAGAAGACAGAAGACCGGCUGCAGAGUCCUGAUGUCCCCUCUCAGUCUCGUCCCUUCCCCUGCAGACUUGUGUCAAACAGACGAGUAACAGCCGAGUCGCACUUUCAGGAAGUGAGGCUCAUCGAGUUUGAUAUCACCGGAUCCAACAUCGAGUUUACUGCCGGUGACGUGGUGAUGAUGCAUCCUCAUAACUCACCUGAGGACGUCGAGCUGUUUUGUCAGAUGCUGAGAUUAAAUCCAGAGGAUAGAUUCACCAUCAGAGCCGCAGACAACACGGCAGUUCCAGCCAGGCUCCCUCAGCCGUGCUCGGUGCGCCACCUGAUGGAGACAUACCUGGACAUCGCCGCUGUGCCUCGCCGCUCCUUCUUCGAGCUGCUGUCCACCUUCUCCACCAACGAGCUGGAGCGAGAAAAGCUGCAAGAGUUCAGCUCGGCGGCCGGACAAGACGACCUGCACGGAUACUGCAACCGCCUGCGACGCACCGCGCUGGAGGUGUUGUCAGAUUUCCCACACACCACAGCAGAACUCAAAGCAGACUACCUGCUGGAUCUGUUCCCAGAGAUUCAGCCUCGCUCGUUCUCCAUCGCCUCCUCUCUGCAGGCUCAUCCAAACAGGCUGCAGAUUCUCGUCGCUGUAGUCCGCUACAAAACCAAAAUGCAUAAACCACGAACAGGUCUCUGCUCCACCUGGUUGGCCUCCCUGGACCCUGAACAAGGGGAGACUUUUGUUCCUCUGUGGGUGAAGAAGGGCACUAUGAAGUUCCCUAAAGACGCAGACACUCCUGUGAUCAUGGUCGGCCCGGGGACCGGUGUGGCUCCGUUCAUGUCGGCUGUACAGGAGCGGAGCGCGGAGGGCAAACAUGGUAAUGUUUUGUUCUUCGGCUGUCGCUCCAAGUCCAAAGACUUCUACUUCAGGUCGGAGUGGGAGGAGAUGACGAAGGCCGGACACCUGACGCUCUUCACUGCUUUCUCAAGAGAUCAGGAGGACAAGGUGUACGUGCAGCAUCGAGUGAGAGGAAACGCUCAGCUUCUGUGGAACCUGAUCGCCAAUCAAAACGCCUGUUUCUACAUCGCAGGGAAUGCCAAACAGAUGCCCAACAGCGUGUGUGACGCUCUGAAGGAGGUGUUCCAGCAGGAGGGGGGCGUCUCCUCCGAGGACGCCGAGCGGAUGCUGGAGGUCAUGGAGAGGACGGGCCGGUUCCAGAGUGAGACCUGGUCCUGAUUACACCACUUUGAGUCGCAUUAAACUGCUGCUGAGUUCACGGCUCAAAACAUUUAAAGUAAAAUCCUCCAGGUUUCUGAACACGUUUGAUAAAAAUGUGUUACAUCGAGGAAAUACCGUCCGACUCACUGCUCUCUCUUUAAGAGACUCCCUGUUAAAGUUUGAAGUAUUGCCUUAUUUAAGAAGUGUCUGAUAAUCAACAAAUGGUAUCAGAAAUAUUCCUACAGGUGUCUUAUACUCGGCCAAAGAGCAACUUAUUGUUAAACAGUAACUUGUUCAGAGCUAAUUGGGGCGCCGGUGGUUGUGGUGCGCGCCCCACAUACAGAGGCUGUAGUCCUCAAAGCAGGUGGCCCGGGUUUGAAUUCGACCUGUGGGUCCUUCCC